GAAAAAGAAAGGAAGCUGUCUGAAUGGAUGCAUAUGGCUUUGUACAUCUCUGUCCAUGUAUAACAUUAAUAAGAUUACUACACCAAGCAGAUCAGAAAAGUCUGCAGCUGAUGAGUUCCUCAAGUAUUGAGGCAAGGGAUGACACGACCAUGCCUACAUUCUGGCAGCCUAGACGCUCAAGGAGGUUCCAUUCAGCCUCUUGUAGUGAUGAUUAAUCCUGAAAGAGAAAGUUAAGAAUGUUAUCCAGGACGGUGCAUAUGCCUGGAAGCCCUGUGGGUCAGCAGAUUUCUAUGUCUCCACCACCUUCAUAUGAGUCAACACCACUCAGGCACGCCGCCAGUCACCCUGCUACAUCUCUUCAAACCCUAGUUUGUCAACCAGGCAGGAUUGGAACGGUCAUAUGCAUCUCCGGACCCAGUUUCGGUGGCGUUCAAUUUUUCCAGUUUUAAUUCAAUUUCAUGACCAGGAAGUUGAAAAUGAAGCUUUGUUUUUUCAAAACCUUUAGCACUUUAGUUAUGACAGUGUGGAAAGUACAGUAUGUUAUGUGUGUUUUGUGCUUUUGUUUAAAAUGCCUUCAGCCAAAAGCUUGGCACAGCUAUCAAUGAAAAAGUGGCUCCGCUAUGCACUAGACCGGACCGGAAGGUUUACGAGAUAAAACCAUGCAUCUUUUAAACCUAUGACAUCGUGACUGUAGAUAUAGCAGGAUUUUUAAAAAAUGCUAGUGUUGAACAGCAUUAAAUGAGCCCUAUUUCUUUGGUAAUCUCAUUGAAAUAUCAUUGAAACCGCAUUGAUUGUUAAUUACAUUGACAUUUCAAUGUUGUUUCAAUGUUCACAUUAGAUGAAAUAUUGUGUUGAUAUAUGGUGAUAUACGAUAUAUGGUGAUGAAAUCUAUGUUUCAAUCUAUGUGCAAACUGUUGCUAAAUCAACAUUGAAGUCCAUGUCAAUUCAAUGAUCUAACGUUGAAAUUUCAACGUAGAUUCUACAUUGUUUCAAUGUCACCUGGCUAUCAGGGAACCUACAAACCAACCAAUUACCGAACAAUCUAUUGAAACUAACAAACUAUCCCAAAAACUAACAAACUCAUAUUAAAACAAACUAAAUGACUAGCAGUGAGUGAGUAAAUACUGUAUACAAAUAAACAAACCAAGAAGCUAACAAACAAUAAAAGUAACUAAAUAAGCAAUGGACCAACAAACUGCCAAACAAACAAUUGAAUAAACAAACUAACUAGCUAACUAACAAGCCAACAAUUGAACAAACGGUCAAACGAACAAACGGCAACACAAACUAACUGCAAAACUCAGAAGUGAAUAAUUGAACAAGCUGACUAAUAAUGAGUGAAUAGAUGUACAAAUCCAAGAAACUAACAAUAAAACAAGUUAAUCAACAAACUAAUAAACCAAAAAAUUAACAACUAACAAAUUAACCAUCAAAUUAGCAAAUGCAUAAAUGCACAAACAAACUGACUGAACUGACUAAUGAUCAACAAAAAAAAAAAAGACUACACAACAAAAUGACGCUUUACCAAACGUUCUGAGGUGAGGCUCAAAAGAACAGUUUCGCUACAGGGUCGUUAGUGACUGGCUAAGUUUUCAAAAUCGUGAUUGCUUUUGAGGCCAUGAUGGAUUUGGUGGUACAAUUUAGACUCAUUUCUGCCUGUUACUAAUUACUGGGGUAGGUAAAAUUGACUAGUUAGGACAUACUUUCUGUAUGUACCUUUAGCUGUAGUCAAAGCUGAAUGAUGCUGCAUGCUUGCUUUGCUCCGCUCCUUCUAGGUCACGUUGGCUAAAUAUUUCAUGGCGUAUGUCCAUUGAGAAGCUUAAAUUUAGACGCUUAAAUCUGGGAUGGCAUCCACACGUCUACAGUUAUCACCUGAGAGUUUACAAUGCAACCAUGCAUGCAGAAAUAUGCGACUGCCUCCACUAGUGAUUCCAUUUGAAUAAGAAUAAAAGUCAAAAGCUGUCACUGUUAUUACCACAUAGGAGCCUGCCGGGGGUUUCCCCUAAUAAAGAACUCCCAGUCACUUGUUGAUAGGGUUGCUACGGUAACAGACUUUUUUUUUCAGAAAGAAAGUGCAGCAACUUUGAGAAAAAGGCUCGGGGGGGUCAUUUCCAGUCUUCAGUUUGUUUUUUUUCCUGCAUGGAAGAUGACUAAAUGUGACCUUUGGAAUGUGC